rnacentral:rRNA from 1 species
GACGAACGCUGGCGGCGUGCUUAACACAUGCAAGUCGAACGGUGAACUCCGCUUGCGGGGGGAUCAGUGGCGAACGGGUGAGUAACACGUGGGCAACCUGCCCUCAGCUCUGGGAUAACUCCAAGAAAUUGGGGCUAAUACCGGAUAUGACCGCUGACCGCAUGGUCUGGUGGUGGAAAGAUUUAUCGGCUGGGGAUGGGCCCGCGGCCUAUCAGCUUGUUGGUGGGGUAGUGGCCUACCAAGGCGACGACGGGUAGCCGGCCUGAGAGGGUGACCGGCCACACUGGGACUGAGACGCGGCCCAGACUCCUACGGGAGGCAGCAGUGGGGAAUAUUGCGCAAUGGGCGAAAGCCUGACGCAGCGACGCCGCGUGGGGGAUGACGGCCUUCGGGUUGUAAACCUCUUUCAGCAGGGACGAAGCGAAAGUGACGGUACCUGCAGAAGAAGCACCGGCCAACUACGUG